rnacentral:rRNA from 1 species
UACAGAGGGUGCGAGCGUUAAUCGGAAUUACUGGGCGUAAAGGGCGCGUAGGCGGCCCGCUAAGUCGAACGUGAAAUCCCCGAGCUCAACUCGGGAACUGCGUCCGAUACUGGCGGGCUUGAAUCCGGGAGAGGGAUGCGGAAUUCCAGGUGUAGCGGUGAAAUGCGUAGAUAUCUGGAGGAAUACCGGUGGCGAAGGCGGCAUCCUGGACCGGCAUUGACGCUGAUGAGCGAAAGCUAGGGGAGCAAACGGG